AAGCAGUGAUGAUUUUAUAGUUCAGCUUAUCUUCGGAUUUGAUGAGAAAUUUCGCCCCUAUCAGAGCUUU
ensembl:snoRNA F32E10.10 ncRNA